GCUAACAAGAAGAGAUUAAAACGUGUCUCUUAAUAUUCCCAAGGGACAGAAGGACCUAUGGGGACAGAAGGGGGCUGCAGGAAGCCGGCCAGAGCGUCACACAGUAAGGCUGGCCUUCGAGGAGAGGGAGGGCUGGCCCCAGCUCCCUUCCCCAGGCCUCACUGGGUGAGCCCUGCUGCGAAGGCUCCCCAGUCCCUGGCCGGCAGCCAGGCAAGCAGCAGCGGCCUCGCCAAGCUGCAUCCCGUGAUAGCCUGAGUGGCUGGCGAUGGAAAUACGCGCGCUUGGCGUUAUCUGCCUCCAGCAAGCAACAGACUUCUCCGUCCGUUAUGCGACAUGGACAAGAUUGAGGUCUCCGGACACCUGGAAUAUCCAUCUGUUUGUUCUUCCCACUCCUGACUUCUUCCCCCCUCCUCCAAGACUCUGCACUGGGUCUCUUGCUCUGCACUUCCUCUCUGCCCAUGUCCCCACUUCUCCAAACCGCCCAGCAGCAGCUAUUUCCUCCUCUACAUACCUGCUCUUCCUGCUUCAGCAGAAUUCCCAGACCCACAGGCAUCCCUCGCUAGCACCCGCUACUAGAUCCCUUUGCGCCUAGCCCUGGCUCAGCAAUUCGCCCCUUUCCCUUGAAGCCUUCUUCUUGUUCCUUUCUUUCCCACAUCAAGAGGCUGAACCAUGCAGUGGUUAAGCAUGCGGCCGCCAGUGCCGUGCCAGACUGUCUGGGUGAAUCACAGCUGCCCCACUUGCCAGCUGUGAGGCCUUGCUUGAGGUACCAAAUUGGCUGUGCCUCAAUUUCC
ensembl:lncRNA